ACCCAACUGACGAGUUCCAAAUAGGAUGAAACGCGCGUCCUGGAU
rnacentral:hammerhead_ribozyme from 1 species